CAGGGUUGGUUUGAUCAGAGCUUCAACUCUUUUCCUCUGCGAUUUACCCAGUUCUGCUUCCGUGUGUUGUUUUUGUUUGUUUGUUUGUUUGUUUGUUUCCUCUGGCUGGUUUUCUUCACGGCGUUGAAACAAGCAUGACUGUUCCAGGUCUCGUUCUGUCCAGAUGAAGAUCUCUUCGAGUGGCUACUUGGAAUGCACUCCAGAGGCCCCUGACAUUGAUUCUUCUCUAGACUCAAACUAACCUAGUUACAUGUCCGCCCUCGAACCAGCGGCUGCAGCCGAAGGUGAGAUUUGGAAAAUUAGCUUAGAUUUGGUGUCAGGAAGGCGAUCAGCUCCCCAAAAAGGGGGACCACACGAGAGAAGUGUGGCAAUCCCCUCAAAAUACGAGUAGUUACCAAGAGAAGAGAAAGUGGGCAAGACCGUCAAAGCAUCCACUCGAGGAGUUUAAUUAUAUUCAAACCCAUAGCAAAAAAAGAAGCUGUUUUUUGAGCAAAAACCAACCCAGGGAAAACUUUGCUAAACGUCCAGAUAUUUCACCAGAACCUUCUGUCAAACAUAAGAAGAUAACAGAUUUCUGUACUCUCUGACUGAAUUUUGCUGACCAAAUCCAAAGUCAGUUCACAGAGCCACAGAUGACUUUACUGAAUUUUUUUAAAAAUGUGUUUGUUUUUCCGAUUAUGAUAACAAUACAUGCUUGUUGUUAAAAUAUUUAAAUAAUGCAGAAAAGCAUUUAAAAUAGUAGUUCUCAACCAAGGGUGGUUUUGUCCCCCAGGAGACAUGUGGCAAUAUCUGGAUACAUUUUUGGUUGUUAGGAUAGGGGGUAGGGGUUAGCUCCUGGCAUCUAGUGGGGAGAGGCCAGGGAUGCCACUAGACAUCCCACAGCGCCCAGGACAGUCCCCCGCAAUGAAAAUUAUCUGACCCAAAAUGUCAAUAGUGUCAAGGUUGAGAAACCCUGAUUUAAAGGAAUGUAAAAAUUACCCCAAAUCCUACUGUCCAGAAAUAAACACUGCCGACAUUUUGGCAAACAUCAUUUAGAAUACUCUUUUUAAUAUAUGCCCAUUGCA
rnacentral:lncRNA from 1 species